GCAUUAAUGGGGUAGUGGUAACCUGGGUCGUUGCCAUUCAUAGAGAUUUGUCUCGACCCGCCGGGAGUUCGAUUCUCUCUUAAUGCA